AGGACGAACGCUGGCGGCGUGCCUAACACAUGCAAGUGGAGCGACGAACCAGGCUUCGGCCUGGGGCAGAGCCGCGAACGGGUGAGUAACACGUGGGUAACCUGCCCUGAUGAUUGGGACAACCCGAGGAAACUCGGGCUAAUACCGAAUGUGCCCUCCGGCCUCAAGGCCGCUGGGAAAGGAGCUUCGGCCUCCGCAUCGGGAUGGGCCCGCGGCCCAUUAGCUUGUUGGUGAGGUAACGGCUCACCAAGGCAACGAUGGGUAGCUGGUCUGAGAGGACGAUCAGCCACACUGGGACUGAGACACGGCCCAGACUCCUACGGGAGGCAGCAGUGGGGAAUCUUGCGCAAUGCGCGAAAGCGUGACGCAGCAACGCCGCGUGGAGGAUGAAGCCCCUUGGGGUGUAAACUCCUUUCGAUCGGGAAGAUAAUGACGGUACCGAUAUAAGAAGCCCCGGCUAACUUCGUGCCAGCAGCCGCGGU
rnacentral:rRNA from 1 species